rnacentral:rRNA from 1 species
GAUGAACGCUGGCGGCGUGCCUAAUACAUGCAAGUCGAGCGAACAGACGAGGAGCUUGCUCCUCUGACGUUAGCGGCGGACGGGUGAGUAACACGUGGAUAACCUACCUAUAAGACUUGGAUAACUUCGGGAAACCGGAGCUAAUACCGGAUAAUAUAUUGAACCGCAUGGUUCAAUAGUGAAAGACGGUUUUGCUGUCACUUAUAGAUUGAUCCGCGCCGCAUUAGCUAGUUGGUAAGGUAACGGCUUACCAAGGCAACGAUGCGUAGCCGACCUGAGAGGGUGAUCGGCCACACUGGAACUGAGACACGGUCCAGACUCCUACGGGAGGCAGCAGUAGGGAAUCUUCCGCAAUGGGCGAAAGCCUGACGGAGCAACGCCGCGUGAGUGAUGAAGGUCUUCGGAUCGUAGAACUCUGUUAUUAGGGAAGAACAAAUGUGUAAGUAACUAUGAACGUCUUGACGGUACCUAAUCAGAAAGCCACGGCUAACUACGUG